rnacentral:lncRNA from 10 species
GUUCAUUGUACCAAUCUAAGCUAAAGCUAAGACUUGAGAACCAUCAGUACACAGGUAGUUACUGAGUCCAUGGGCAGAUGAGAAACCUCCCAGGGAGAAACUGAAGCAGAGAUAGGGCAGAGCUCCCAAAGAAUUCUGCCAUUUAUAGGAUGGGCAGGGGAAGAGGAGCUUCCAAGGAGAAUCGAGGAGUGACUAGAGAGGAGAGAUCUAGGAGAAUGGGGUCUCCUUACAGAAGGCACAGGAAGAAAGGACUUUAAGGAAAGAGGAGGCAACAUUAUCACAUGCUCCUAUGCAAUCAAAUAAGAUAAGGGCUGGAAAGCACCUUAUCAGAAGGGUAAGAAUGCUUCGCCUGUAGAUGAAGAACUGAUGGACACCACUGGUGUGGACUGUGAAGGGGAGGAGAGAGCGAAGUCAGGAGUCGGCUGCAGUGGAGCCUCGAGACCACAGAGAGACACAGAGAGAAAGAGGAGAAAGCUACGUGAAGGCAGAAGGCAGAGACUGGAGUGAUGCAGCCACAAGGAACGCCAGCAGCUGCCGGAAGCUGGAAGAGGCAAAGAAGCACCCACCCCAGCACCCUCAGAGUGCUCAGGAGACCCAAGAAAAUGACUCCUUGAGAAAAAUCUCCAAAUUCAUGCACAACUGGCUCCUUCUCUUGGAAUCACCCAGGGCUCCCACUUGGGCCCUCUUGAAGAUUUGCUUCCGGGAGGCUGUGAGUGGUAAGGUCAGUCAUGGCUGGACCCUUCUCCUGUCACCACAAGAUCCUCCUCAGCUCCAUCCCGGCUUCAUCUCUAACCCACUGGGGAAUCCCAGGCAAGUCACCUCCUG